rnacentral:other from 1 species
AUAUUUCUGAAAUAUUUGUUAAGCUCUUAUUUUGAACCUACAGUACUUAAACGGGAGUUCAAUAUUUAGAUGCCGAUUAGACCUAUAAGACCAAUAUAAUGGCAAGGACAGUGAAGUAUCUGUGAGAACACCCACCUAUCGAAGAGAUAGGUGUCAAAAUCAGGGCAGCGGUAUUUUGGAUUAUA